AUUGAACGCUGGCGGCAGGCUUAACACAUGCAAGUCGAGCGGGGGGAGGUAGCUUGCUACCGGACCUAGCGGCGGACGGGUGAGUAAUGCUUAGGAAUCUGCCUAUUAGUGGGGGACAACAUCUCGAAAGGGAUGCUAAUACCGCAUACGUCCUACGGGAGAAAGCAGGGGAUCUUUAUGACCUUGCGCUAAUAGAUGAGCCUAAGUCGGAUUAGCUAGUUGGUGGGGUAAAGGCCUACCAAGGCGACGAUCUGUAGCGGGUCUGAGAGGAUGAUCCGCCACACUGGGACUGAGACACGGCCCAGACUCCUACGGGAGGCAGCAGUGGGGAAUAUUGGACAAUGGGGGGAACCCUGAUCCAGCCAUGCCGCGUGUGUGAAGAAGGCCUUAUGGUUGUAAAGCACUUUAAGCGAGGAGGAGGCUCUUUUGGUUAAUACCCAGAAUGAGUGGACGUUACUCGCAGAAUAAGCACCGGCUAACUCUGUGCCAGCAGCCGCAGUAA
rnacentral:rRNA from 1 species